UGGGAAUCAAGGACCAGGGUAGUUGAGAGAUAGUAGAAAUCUUACCAACAGUGGUAAUGGGCCGAUUGAAAGGCAGGAAGCCCCAAGAUUCUUGAGUGAAGCCUCGGCCAUGGAAGGAAUAAGAAGGGACAAGGUGUGCUCUGCAAAGAAAAGGACAAAAGUGUAAGUUCUCCCAGGAAACUUCCUCUAGUGAAAUCCUAGCCAAGCUCCAGGACCAGAUAAGCAACAAAAGCAGCCACAGCUGACCUCAGGACCAGCUCCAUUGGAUAAUGACCCCACCUCCCGCCUCUGGUGCCAGCCAAUCAAUCAGUGGAGACCACUACCCUGAAAGGACACACCUGGAAAACUGCUGAACAGUCUGAGACCUCCCCUAGAAUCUCCACUCUUAAAACUCUUAGGACAGAGUACCCAGUGCUCUCUCCUUUUUGGGAACAUGCCUGCCCCUUUCCCUAUCCUGCUCCCCAACCACAGGCACAUUACCAUUACCUUCCUCAUCCCCAAGCUCCAAUUUAUAAAUUUUUUCCUAAGCCUACCUAUUCUACAAAUUACUUGUUCCAGU